UUGAUGGAUGAUGGGCUCAAGAAUGCAAAGCGACUGGGAGGAAAAUUGGCCACCCGUGAAAGACAACUGCUGAGGGGAAAAACGUGUUUUGUUGAUCUCUUGCUCAGAAAAGAAAUCCAUAUG